GGUCUCCUGCCCUUUCUCCUGCAGUAGUCCCUGCUGCGGGGUGGCGGCCAGUGACCAGCUCAAGGCCUCGGGGCCGCUGAGCACCAGGACCCUGGCGUGAGGAGCUGGCCCGUGCUGAGAUGCAGGGUCUUUGGAGGCCUUGGACAUAUGGGCACCCAGGCCUACUGGGGGGCCCAGGAGCCCCUCCCUGACAGAGUGGAGGCUGGGCUUUGGCCCGUCUGGCUUCUGUGGGGGCAGCGGUAAGUCCCUGGCCUGGGAGCCCGGUGGGCUGCACUGGCUCUGCCGACACCCCUGGCCUGAGCCCUUCCCUCCUCCACGGCAGAGGCUGGGGCUGCUCUCGGUCCUCUCCCAGCUUCCUCUCCCCCAAGGUGCUGGUGAGGAAUGCCCUCCACCUCUCCCCAGCCUCGGGCCUGUCCCUCCUCCCUCUUAGCCCCCCGCUCCCCCACAAGCCUUUGGUGUCCCCUGUUCCUGCUCCCCUUCCUCCACGUCAGCUCAGGCCUCUCCCUGGACAGACCUCAUGGGGCCAGUAGCAGGGGGCCACUUCUCAGGGCCCCUGGCGUGGCCUGUGCUUCCCUGCAGGCUGGGUGGCACCUGUGGCAGGUGGAGAGACUGAGGCUGGGGCUCAACGUUCCCACCACACCCCCUGCCGGUGUCCGCCCCACUCUGGCCCGCGAAUGUCCCCAGCAAUUGUUGGCUCCGUGUCUGCCUUCGUGGCUCCGCUGCUUCGCUCUGCUCGUUCGUUAGCGCCUUAUCUCCCUGCCCAGGCCUUCCAGGGAGGCGGACAAACAGGAACUGAGCGCUCUCUGCUCAAACAAGGGCGUGGCGGCUGCGAGGGGAGGCCUGGCCGGUCCAGGCUCCCGCUGGGCCUCCCCUCCCCGCUGCAGCCCGGUCAGCCCUCUGCCACCAGCCUCCACCCCUCUGGGUCAUGGGACCCUCUUGCCCAGCCACGUCGAGGCUCUGUGGCGGGCCAAGCCCGCCCUGCCCAGCCUUCCCUUCCCCUCUGGCCGCAGAUCUGAGCCAGCCCCUCAGAGGCUCUGGGGGGGACCGGAAGGACGGAUGUGACGCCACAGGGGCACGUCCUGCUCUCUGGAGGCAGAGGCUCCCGUGGGCCGCGCCGUGCCUGCACCUCAGCCCCGGGCCACACAGGCUCAGGCCUAGAAGGCAGGUCUGUGGCUUCCUGCACCCCAGGGAGACAGCAGUUUCCUCAGAACCCCAACACCAGUGACUGGAGGCAGCAGCAAGUCAAAAGGUAACGAAAUAAAGAACAAAAACUUCAAGUUGCUUCUACCAGACUUGGCUUGGGAAUGUACGCUGGGGCCGUCCCCACUCCACGUGUCAGCACCCUGAACCCCCAGGCAGAAGCGGAAAGGCCCCAGACUCGUGUGUCGGCCCACCAGGGCGGUACGUAUUCUCAGGCAAGUCACUGCUCUGAGCCUCAGUUUCCUCAACUAGACAUUACAAGAAUGAAGUCUCUUCAGGGCAGUAUUGGCCCCAGCUUAAACCUGCAGGCUGCCUGGCCUAGAAGGCCCCCACCCUGGGCGAGCCCGGGGCAAUGUCCCUCUCCCGGCCAUGGGCCUUCACUCACCAUCAAUGAUCUCCUCCUUCACCUUGUGAAGUUCUCUGACCACCUCCUCCAGGAUCUCCUGUGGGAGCAGAGCGUCAAAGUGGAGGGACAGGCAGCGAGACAGGGGAGCUGGCCUUGGUGGGGACGUGGCAGAAGUGGUGGGCCUGCCGUGCCCCUCUCCAGAGCCGUAGCUCUCGCCCGUGCCCAAGACUCCUUGCGGCCCCUCGGCCGCCCUCCCCAUGUCGAAGGCAGGGUGGCCGGGGACCCUGGGAACUCCUGCCGCCCACCAGCCUCCAGGUCUGCGUGGGCCUCGCUGGCCGCUCCUGGCCUCUGGGGGAAGGACACGCUCACCUGUUUCAUCCGGUCCAGAUCGAAGGCAUCCAGGGCUACGUCAUUGACGCCCCCGGCGGGCUUCAUCCUGGGGAGAGUGGCAGGGCAGUGAGGGGAUGGCAGGCCCGAGGCCCCCACGCUAGUGGCUGGCGUCGGCAGGAAAGCUGGGAGUGCCGGAGCCCGGUGCGGGGCCGCCUGCUCCCCUCUCCGCUGGGGAGUUUCCUGCUUCUUACCUACGGCCACCCCUCGGCUACCUGGAAAGGAUCUUAACGCCCAGUUUCUACCGCAAGAGGGUCUCCACGGAUCCUGGGACCAUAUUUCCCAACCCAAGAGCCAGUACUUGGGGGCCAACAGCGCUGCUGUGAUUCGAGAGCUCUCGCACAGACGUGGCGACUCACGCCGGCCCUCGCUUCCCUGCACAGAACGCGGCAGUGACCCGCCCUCGUGGCGGGGUUUACGUUCCUGGCUAGAACUGAGGCUCAGGAAACCAGCAACAGUGGCAUUAAGUACGUGACGUCACACAGGUAAUGCCCGUCCUGGAGGCACCGGCUCCCGACACAAACCAGCACCCAUGGCUCUGCGUGUGACUCCUUCAAGAAACAAACGUGGAUGUGGCUUCUCGUUUGAGGUGGUUCUCACGGACUGUGCUGCUCUGACAGGUUUCUGCACCACGGUUAAGCGACGUGGAUUUUAACGUUUCUCGCACACAUAUCCUCCCGGGAGAAUCUUGGCAAAAUGCUCAUCUGACUAUCUGGUCUUUUGAAAACACGACUGUGGUGCUGAGGGACCCAAGCUCUGCCCCGCACGGACAGAAUGGCUGUGGGAGCCUGUGGUUUCAGGGACACGUACGUGGCCCGAGCCAGGUAGAAAGAUCGUGGCUGUGACAGUGCAGGGCCAUCUGGAGCAAGCGAGGAACAUGUUCCCCACGGCCGAGGAGAGCGAGGAUGAGAAAUGAAGUGCUCCUGCACCAAGCGGGGGCCCAACACGUGUGUAAUUAAUUUGGGGUCCCUGGCUUCUCCAGGCCUGUUCCAGCGACUGGGCUGGGGACCGUGGGCUAAGCGCUUCCGCUGUAGGCCUCAGCCCGCCCUCUCUGCACACCUGGCGGCCCCCCAUGACAAGCGCCGUAUGCCCCAUAAGCAAGGCUGCGGGGAUGGGUCAGUGGCACACACCCCCUUUGCAGCCAUCUGGGAAAUGAGAGACCAGAUUUGUCUUGGAACUGGAGCGAGACCCCAUUUCAGGUAGGAAUGGCCUUGACGAUGCUCCUGGCCACUGAGAACGGGGCAGCCCACCCUCACUCCAGCAGGACACGGCUGGCUCUGCUGGGGGGAGGGGUGCUGCAGGCUCGCCCCCGGCUGCUGCACCUGUUCCAGGUCCCCGCUCUGUUCUGGUCACCUUCCCCCGCCUGGCUCCCGGCACGGCCCCUGUGCCUACAGCUCUCUGACCGGGGCCUGCACACGGACUACGAUGCAGACUAACCUCAUUCCACCCCCCAGCUACACUGCCUGCUGUCUGUCCUUUGAACUUUGGGCCCAGGGCCUUGGCACUUACCAUUCCUUCAGCUUGGACAGCUGUCCCCACAGCCUCUGCCUGGCAGCUUCCUUCUCCAGGCCGGCUCAAACGCCCCCUCCCUAAAGCACCUUGUCCACCACGUGGCCCUUUACGCCUUCUCGGGAGCCCCCCCCCCCGGACCCACAGCUGUCUGGUUUACAUGAGCUCUCUGGGCGCAGGGACUGUCCCCAGCACACAGCUGGCUGACUGCCGCGACCACUCUGUCCACCUGCAUUGGGCACAGCUGUUCUGCCAGUGCCAGGCUGGAGUUCUGUGCUCAUCAUCUGUCCUGCUCUGUGACAAGAGUUGUUUCCCUUCACUUUGGGGUAGGCAACGGAGACGUUUCUUGUGCAGGUUCUAGAGGUCUUCAAAUUCAGGCCACACUUGGGCCGUGGUACUGUGUGUCCAUUUUGUUUCUGACUCUUUGGGGAACCUCAGUUCCAAACACCCUGUCCUGUUGUCACACCAGCGUUUGGUUUGGGAAAUAUGGUCAGCAGAUCUGUGGGGAAGCCGGCUGUGGCUGCUGCGCGUGGGGAUGGAGGUGAGCUGGCGGAGCGCGAGCAGGGUGCCGGGCUGGGCUGCGGCCAGCGAGCACAUUGCACGUUCCACUGUUGUUCACCUGCGCCCGCCCCGCCGCCGUCCCGUGUGAGGGACCAACAGCCCUCACUGUACUGGGGAAAUGGAGGCCUGGAGAGGUCGCCUAACUUGCCCAAUGUCACGCUUAGCGAGUCGAAAGCUGGAUUCGAGCUCAGCCCCACUUCGCUGCCACUUUGGACAGGUGGUUCCCUUCCAGGGGCCCGGCCUGGCCUCUCCUCGCGGGGAGGAGGGGAAGCAGCUGACCUGUACAAGCCCAAGUCCCUCCAGCUCUGCCUUUCCCCAGGUCUGAAAGAAAAGAUCCCCUUCCCAGAGCAAGCUGCUGAAUGCCAGACAUGAGACAGGGUUCAGGGGUAUGUUAGUCAGGGGACAGGAGACAGAGGAGGCCCCAGAGACUGGGGGACAGUGGGCAGGAGGGUUGUUCGGUACCUAGAGUGAGGCUGCGACUGAAGGGGGCUCUUAGCUUCGGGGCUCUUUGCCACAGACGGGGUUCUACAGCAACGGAACGAAACAGACACGUGAGCCGGCGCCAGCACCCGCCUCUGCCCCACCAGUCACCGCUGGGGCCUCCCCAGGGCAGCUCACCUGGACAGUAACGAGGACACAGGUUUCUCCACCGAGUUGCUCCGCUCCCAGGGCUUCCGGCCAGCCUCUGUCAGUUCAUUUCAUGGACGAAGAGCCUCAGAGCUGAGAGGACUCAGCGGCCACCCCAACCCCCUGAGCACCCCAGACAAGAAGUGCCCCCAUGCCAAGGGUGCAGAGCCCCCAGCGGGAAGGUCUGCCUCGAGUGGAGCUGCAAUCUGGCUCCUUGUUUUCAGUCCCCCUCUGGCCCAGGGCAGCCCCUUGAGGGUGGCAGAUGGCACUGUUGUCACCCUGUGUUUCUUCCACUCCAGGACUCAAGCUCCUGUUCCCUUGACCUGGUUGACCUUGACUUGUGACCUGGUUUCAAGUCCUUUCACCAUGCUUGGGUCUCUCCGUGGAAUGUGAACCAGCUGGUAAGGGAGCCAGCGACACCAGCAACGGGGUGAGCGGGCAGCAGAACCCCUCCCCCAGGCACUCCCAGGGCAGCCUGUGUCCCCAUCUGCUGUGGGACCCUGGAGCCCACUGGCACCGUUAGUCGACUGCCCUCCUCGGUCUGCCCCCCACACCGCAUCUGGCUCUUUCUCACCCUGGGCUUUGCAAGCUGGUUUGUCUUUUCUUUUUUAAGGUAAGUGGUAUCAGAUUGUAUUUCAUUCUGCUGCAAGGGAUUUGUUGACUUGAAUUCACUGACUUUGCAGGCUGGCCAAGGGCAGAAGACAAAAUCCCUAGGGCUAGGGGGGAAGCACUCGCCCGAGACCCUGCAGGCUGACUGCAGGUCUGAGGCAGUUCUCCUCAAAGCCACCUUCUGGGAUGGGCGCUGGGCCUGCAGGCAGACGUGGGGCCACAGGAGCAUGGGCUCCAGGGCUAUGACCUUGAGCAAACCACACACGGCUACAGCCUCCUAAUAGGAAACCACUCAGCCCACUCACUGGGCUAUUAUAAUUAGCAGACGAGGGCAGGGACAUUGUUCAUGUUCAUUGGCCAAGAAGCUAUGGAUUCUGGCAAAUCAAUGUGCCAGGCAAAGUUCUAGAAAGAGAGGACGUAGCCCGCAGCCUCAGGAGGGAGGCAGUUAUGGCUGGUGCAGGCACGGAGCAUGCCCAGGGAGAAGAGCAGACAGCUGGCAAGAGUCUCCCUGCCCAGGGUAGGGCGGCCUAACCCCCUGCACCUCUCCUCGCCCUGCUCUCGAGCACAGGCCUGGCACAGAGGAGACGCUGCACAGAUGUUUGUUGAAUGACUGAACAACUGGCCCAUCACACUCUCUUAAUUACACCCCCUCUACCAUGGCUCAGAUGGGGAGACACCUGAGCAAGCCAGUCCACAGGUUCAUCAAUGUUGCUGCCCAAAUGACAGCUGUAAAAUUGAGUUCUGACCUCACAACCCCUCUGUUGAGAGCCUCUGAAGCCGCCUGGCUGCUUGACAGGGCAGGGGCAGCCCUGUGCAGCCCGCCUGGCCCUCCAGCUCCACCUCUAGCCAGCUCUCCCCUGCCCCCCGGCCCUGCACAGCCCACUCUGUGCCUUUGCCCACGAUGCCCUCCCUGCCAUGCUUCUUUUGUUUAAAUAAUACCUGUUUGUUCUCCAUUAAUUAUAAACUUAGUACAUGUUCACUGAAGAGAAUUUGGAAAUACUGAAAAGUAUAAAAAGGAAAAUAAAAGCCAGCCACCGGGGUUUCUCCCUCAUACUGUGCUUGCCCUGCACUCUCAGAAGCCAGUUCCAGUGUGAGCCAGCAGUGACCAGGGGCCUAAAGAAAGAAAUGACAGGUGUCCAAGGAAGACAGCACCAUCCUUGGGAUUGCAGGGUUCAAGAAUGCUUCUCUUCCAGAAGUUGCUGGGAUCUGGAAUCCAUUCCUCCUGCAGGGGGAGGAGCGUGGCUUUAAGUGUGCCGGAGCUGGCGCUCCACACCAGCAGUUGCCCGGGAGGAGCCCGUGCUGGCUCACAGGCCCGUGUGCUGCUGUCUGGGCACCUGGGACUAUCCUGCGGCUCCCAGACACACAGGCCUCCACGAUUUCAGAAAUUCAUGGCGAGUUAGUUGGCUGAACUCCACCGUGUGCGCAAGGCACGGGGACAGCAGGAGAGUGAGAAGCCCAAGCCCGGCCUUCCUGGGGCCUAUGCUGGCGGAGAGAGGUAGAGCCGUGUCUGGCAGGGGAACACUCCCUGAGCACAGACCUGCUGCCAGGGCUCCGGGGCGCAGCAGCAAGCCCCACAGAGGCCCUCCUGCCCUUCCUAUAAUCCCCCAAUGAAGUGCCGAUCACAUGGAUGGCCAAACCAGCUGGCCUGUCUGUCUGGGAGGCUGCUUUUCUCCUAGACACAGGAGGGAAGGGAGAAGAUACAGUUAGCUCCUUAAGCUUCUCACACGGCCCCAACUCCGCCGCCUCCACGCAGUUCCCAGCCCUGUGAUGGAAACGAAGAUGUCUGCUUUUUGUGCAGGAGGUGGCUCGUCCAGGCGCUCGCCUGGUCAGGAGGCACGCCCGGGUGAGUGUCCCGGUUUCUGUGCUCAUCUAUAACCUGGCAUACGAAACUGGUCUGAGCAGGGAGGCUGGGGUUGGGGAUGUCCCUAUCUCUAGCACGACUGGCGACAGCCACAGCACCUGAGGGAGGGAGGAGUCGGCUGCACCUUGUCCAGGCUCCUGGGGGCCUGGGCUUGGCUGAACAGCAGCUGUUCCCAGGACACUGUAGGCGUGGCCACAUGGGACAGGGAGGCGCCUCUCGGGGUUGCGGUCUGUCUGUCCCACAGGUCAGGGCUGUGGGAGCCUCUGCUGCAGGCUCGGGGCACGCAGACCCACCAGCUGUGGGAGGGAGGAAGACAUUUCUUCUACUACCACAGAAGCCCUCCUAUCUUGCAACCGUCACUCCAGCCAUGCCUCCCCCAGUCUGGAACCCCACUAAGAACCUGGACUCGCUCAGAAAAGGGAAGACUUUGAAUAGCUCCAAGGGAUGCCCUAUAGUCAGUCCACACUGUCCCCACAGAGAAACUACUUCUCAGCCAACACAGGCCUGCCUGGCUAGUCCCUUGGCCCAGGAACCGGGGGGUCAUCCUUGACACCAACUUCUUGUCACAGUAAGCCUGAUCCAUUCUACCUCUGAAUUUUACUGCCAAUCUUUUUCCUACCGUCACUUCCAACACCUUCCUGCAAGUCACCAUCACCUCCUCCUGUACUACACUAGCCUCCUGCCUGGUCUACCCACUGCCACUUCGCCGCACUACCCUCCUGCCCAGCAGCCCGCGUCCGCGAGCCCUCCCACUCCCGCAGGUGUUCCCCAACAGCGCUCCGCACGCGCUCACUUCCCCCCUGUCCUCCCGUGCUGGGAAGGAGACUCUCAGCUGCACGCUCUCGGAGGCGGGAGACUAGCUCUGGGAGAACUGGCAUUCAAAGCAGCCGCUCCCUCUGCACCCGCGUGGUCAGCUCCACCCAGCAUCCAUCACCAAGGCGGAUUGCAAAGAGCAGCCGGCGCGAGCUGCUGGCUGUGCACACCGCACGUUUGUUCUCAGUAGGGCCUCGACUCCCCCACCAGCACUGGCGUCUCCCUGGCUCCUGGCAACACCGGCUUUUUCCUGUUCUCAGAGAGAAAGGUGCUUCCUCCAGUUUGGUCUACCCCGUCUACAUCAGGCUGUUACCGUCACCUCACUGGUUCUGGGCUUGGGGAAAGCGUUAAGUUUCUUUCCAGAAGCCCCUCUUCAGCUCUCUGAGAUGGAGGCCAACAGCCCUGCACAGCAAGGCCCUCUCUUCCAGCCUCACUUUGGGUCCAUGUCCAAUUCUCCAGGCACAGUGUGUGUCAGCCUUCCAGCUGCUUUGACACUGCUGCUGCCCCUCUGCGGUUCCUCCUGCACCGCCCGCUCUGCCCCUGCCUCGGCCCAGAGAACUGUACUCGCCCUUCUGUGAGGCCCCCCGGCUCUCUCCCUCAGUGAACCGUUCCUACUUUUUGCAGCCAGUCAACCCUGGCAUGCCUGGAUUUACUACUAUAUAAAAUGCCCUCCUGUUUUGGUGAUUUAGGUAUGCCCAGGCGCAGGCGAGGCCUGUGCUGGGGCUCCGCCUUGCCACUCCCUGACACUCAGGGCGGGUUCCCCAGGCCCUGCCUCUGUUCUGAGGUGCUGGAGCAGCUGCUGCACUUGGUGGCCCCUGUCUCCUCACUUUAUCCUCAGGGCACCAUGCACAUUUGAUGAGAUGAAUUGGGAACAUGCUGUGAAGACCUCGGUACACACAGAGUUCCCACUUGGCUUAGCAGCUGGGAGGGCCAGGAGAACGGAGAAGGGGGGGAGUCUCCAAGGGAGCAGGACUGCUACAUGGCUUCCUCUGUUCCCACAGGGGAGGCUGCUCCUGGGCCCUGUGGUGUCCAGGCGAGCCAUGACGUUGGUAGCUCUAGGUCAGCACAGUUCGCAGGCCAAGCAACAUUUAAAAAUAAAAUCCAAGCUUUGCAUCUCUUUUGAGAAAGAUCUGUAUGAUCUCUUUCUUUCAGCUGGGGGUCAACAAAGAGUCACAGUGACAGGCUGAUGGCCUUGGGCAGCUGGAGCCACAUCUGCGAGUGUGAUGGAGAAGUGGAUACCCAGGUCCCAGGCUCAGAGCCCAGCACGACCUGGAUGGAACUGUCCUCUGUCCGCCUCUCUGGGCUCCUGCCACUCCACAGUUCCUUCUCCUGCACCCUUCACAGGUUCCCCUGGAGGACCAGGCGCCUUCAUCACACACGCACCACAGUGUCCUCUGUCAGCUCUAGCACUGGAUCACAUCUUGCUUCUGUUGGGAUCUUAAGUGCAGAGACUGUUCCUUUCCCUCUGAAUUUAUCUCUGCUCGGGACAGGGCCAGUACCCGCAGAUGCUUCAGCAGAUACCUGCUAAACUAAAACGAGGGAGCCAGGGCUGGAGUGCUCCUCUGGCUUGCUGCCUCAGAAGCCCUUCAGAAGGGAAAACUUAAGUAACAGUUGCCCCUGCUUGGUUGAAGCUGGGUGACACAGGAUUCUGGGGCCAAGGAAGAUUCUUCAUGCAGUGCUGAGAGACAGGGGUGUCCCGACAGGCAUGCUGAGUUUGGGGAGGUAUAAAGACCUACCUUUUGGCCAGCAGUUUGUUCAUUUCCUCCAUGAGACCGCCUCCGCCGCCCCCACUGCUUGCCCGGUUGGCAUCGGACUUUGAGGUCCCGCUGGGACUGGAGCCUCCCGAUGCAUCUUCUGGCUGAGGGUAAAGGACGCCAUGUUUUAGACCCUGGUGCUGACGGCAGGACGAGUAGCAGCAAGGAUGUGAGAGGACACAGGGGACCACAUGUGUACAUGUGACUCCUACAAUGGCACUGCUAUGAGAGACCUCAGGAGGCAUCUAGUUCAGCAUCUCCCAAUCCCACAGGGGAAAAAACCAGGACCGAGCUGGGACAAGGCCUGGCCAGGCCUGCAUGCCAUGCUCAUGGUCAGUGCCCUUGCCGAGACCAGCCGUGACCUGAGGCAGGGGAGACGACUCUGUGGGAAGGAAACAAGAUUUAAGCCAAAGACCUGUUCAGGGGCAAUUUUCUUUCAACCACAGCCCCCCUCGGCCUCGCUCCACAGUGUGUGAGGAAGGGUCAGGGCAGACACAGCCGGGUGACUGAUUUCCACGAGAUGACUUGGUACAGCGGAAAGGCAAUGGACUUAGAUUCAGGAGACCCAGGGCUUGAGUCCAAACUGCAAUUUAUAAACUGUGUGAUGUGAACGCAUUAUGUAAACUCUCUGUGUCUCAGUUUCCUCACCUAUAAAGCGGAGACAGUCUUGCCCUGCUUACGAAGGUCACUGUGGGGACCAACAGCAGUUGUGUAUCUAAAGCACCUCGUAAUUCACAAA